CAAUCAAACCGGGAGAUAGCUGGUUCUCCCCGAAAGCUAUUUAGGUAGCGCCUCGUGAAUUCAUCUCCGGGGGUAGAGCACUGUUUCGGCUAGGGGGCCAUCCCGGCUUACCAACCCGAUGCAAACUGCGAAUACCGGAGAAUGUUAUCACGGGAGACACACGGCGGGUGCUAACGUCCGUCGUGAAGAGGGAAACAACCCAGACCGCCAGCUAAGGUCCCAAAGUCAUGGUUAAGUGGGAAACGAUGUGGGAAGGCCCAGACAGCCAGGAUGUUGGCUUAGAAGCAGCCAUCAUUUAAAGAAAGCGUAAUAGCUCACUGGUCGAGUCGGCCUGCGCGGAAGAUGUAACGGGGCUAAACCAUGCACCGAAGCUGCGGCAGCGAACGUAUCACCCAAGACAACUUUACGGAGUUGACGAUUGACGGAGCGAAGCGACGUCAAAGCGUUCAUUAAAGUCGAGUUGGCUUAGGGAUACGUUCGUUGGGUAGGGGAGCGUUCUGUAAGCCUGUGAAGGUGUGUCGUGAGGCAUGCUGGAGGUAUCAGAAGUGCGAAUGCUGACAUAAGUA
rnacentral:rRNA from 3 species